rfam:Triticum aestivum genome assembly, contig: Triticum_aestivum_CS42_TGACv1_scaffold_146300_2BS
AUACUACUCACUCCGUCCCAAAAUAAGUGACUCAAAAAUGACUAAAUUUUGUACUAAUUUUAGUAUAAAGUUGACUCACUUUUGAGUCACUUAUUUUGGGACGGAGGGAGUAGGAA